AUUGAACGCUGGCGGCAGGCCUAACACAUGCAAGUCGAACGAGUGGCGGACGGGUGAGUAAUGUCUGGGAAACUGCCCGAUGGAGGGGGAUAACUACUGGAAACGGUAUCUAAUACCGCCUACCAUCGGAUGUGCCCAUAUGGGAUUAGCUAGUAGGUGGGGUAACGGCUCACAUAGGCGACGAUCCCUAGCUGGUCUGAGAGGAUGACCAGCCACACUGGAACUGAGACACGGUCCAGACUCCUACGGGAGGCAGCAGGGGGGAAUGUUGGACAAUGGGGGAAACCCUGAGCCAGCCAUCCCGCGUGGGCGAUGAAGGCCUUCGGGUUGUAAAGCACUUUUGGCAGGAAAGCGGUACCUGCAGAAUAAGCACCGGCUAACUACGUGCCAGCCGCCGCGGUAAUUC
rnacentral:rRNA from 1 species